rnacentral:misc_RNA from 1 species
GAUGAAGAACGCAGCGAAAUGCGAUACUUGGUGUGAAUUGCAGAAUCCCGUGAACCAUCGAGUCUUUGAACGCAAGUUGCGCCCGAAGCCAUUAGGCCGAGGGCACGCCUGCCUGGGCGUCACACGUCGUUGCCCCCCCAUCUACUCCUUCGGGAUUGCGGGGGGCGGAUGAGGGCCUCCCGUGCGCCUCGUCGCGCGGUUGGCAUAAAUGCCAAGUCCUCGGCGACGCACGCCACGACAAUCGGUGGUUGCGAAACCUCGGUUGCCCGUCGUGUGCGGUCGUCGCGCAUCGAGGGCUCGAAAAAAUUGCCGGGCUCCGGCUCGGCUUUCAACGCGACCCCAGGUCAGGCGGGGUUACCCGCUGAAUUUAAGCAUAUCAAUAAGCGGAGGA